rnacentral:rRNA from 1 species
UACGUAGGGUGCAAGCGUUGUCCGGAAUUAUUGGGCGUAAAGAGCUCGUAGGCGGUUUGUCACGUCGGGUGUGAAAGCCCGGGGCUCAACCCCGGGUCUGCACUCGAUACGGGCAGACUUGAGUUCGGCAGGGGAGACUGGAAUUCCUGGUGUAGCGGUGAAAUGCGCAGAUAUCAGGAGGAACACCGGUGGCGAAGGCGGGUCUCUGGGCCGAUACUGACGCUGAGGAGCGAAAGCGUGGGGAGCGAACAGG